AUUGAACGCUGGCGGCAGGCCUAACACAUGCAAGUCGAGCGAGCGGCGGACGGGUGAGUAAUGUCUGUGAAACUGCCUGAUGGGGGGGGAUAACUCCUGGAAACGGUAGCUAAUAUCGCAUACCAUCAGAUGUGCCCAGAUGGGAUUAGCUAGUUGGGGGGGUAAAGGCCUACCAAGGCGACGAUCAGUCGCGGGGCUGAGAGGAUGAUCCGCCACACUGGAACUGAGACACGGCCCAGACUCCUACGGGAGGCAGCAGUGGGGAAUAUUGGACAAUGGGCGAAAGCCUGAUCCAGCCAUGCCGCGUGUCUGAAGAAGGCCUUCGGGUUGUAAAGGACUUUUGUUAGGGAAGCGGUACCUAAAGAAUAAGCACCGGCUAACUACGUGCCAGCAGCCGCGGUAAUAC
rnacentral:rRNA from 1 species